UACCCGCAGCACAAGUGGUGGUCAUUAUUAUUGGGCCUAAAGCGUCCGUAGCUGGCGUGUUAGAUGCCUGGGUAAAUCGAUGCGCUCAACGUAUCGAAUUCCGGGUAGACCGGCACGCUCGAGACCGGGAGAGGUGUAGGCUACUCGCGGGGUAGGGAUAAAAUCCUGUAAUCCUGCGGGGAGGACCAGUGGCGAAGGCGCUACACUAGAACGGCUCUGACAGUGAGGGACGAAGCCCUGGGGCGCAAACCGG
rnacentral:rRNA from 1 species